rnacentral:tRNA from 1 species
ACUAUUUUGGCAGAUAAAGUGCGGUAAAUUUAGAAUUUAUUUAUGUAAUUUAUAUUACAGAUAGUA